GAAGCUGACCAGACAGUCGCCGCUUCGUCGUCGUCCUUUCGGGGAGACGGGCGGAGGGGAGGAAAGUCCGGGCUCCAUAGGGCAGGGUGCCAGGUAACGCCUGGGGGGGAAACCCACGACCAGUGCAACAGAGAGCAAACCGCCGAUGGCCCACGUAAGUGGGAUCAGGUAAGGGUGAAAGGGUGUGGUAAGAGCGCACCGCGCGGCUGGUAACAGUCCGUGGCACGGUAAACUCCACCCGGAGCAAGGCCAAAUAGGGGUUCAUAAGGUACGGCCCGUACUGAACCCGGGUAGGCUGCUUGAGCCAGUGAGCGAUUGCUGGCCUAGAUGAAUGACUGUCCACGACAGAACCCGGCUUAUCGGUCAGUUUCACCU
rnacentral:RNase_P_RNA from 4 species